UACAGAGGUCUCAAGCGUUGUUCGGAUUCAUUGGGCGUAAAGGGUGCGUAGGCGGCGCGGUAAGUCGGGUGUGAAAUCUCGGAGCUUAACUCCGAAACUGCAUUCGAUACUGCUGUGCUUGAGGACUGGAGAGGAGACUGGAAUUUACGGUGUAGCGGUGAAAUGCGUAGAUAUCUGGAGGAACACCGGUGGCGAAGGCGGCAUCCUGGACCAUUACUGACACUGAAAAGCGAAAGCCAGGGGAGCAAACGGG
rnacentral:rRNA from 1 species